GACCGGUCCAAAGAUCGUCCUCCACGCUUCAGUGAUGAACCUGGACCCUCAGACACAAAAGUUCAGUCCAACAGACAGAGAGCAGAGUCUCCAGGAUCCAGCUGUCUGUCUAUGAAGAGUGACUGGUCCAAAUUUGAACCUCCAUGCUUCAGUGAUGAACCUGGACCCUCAGACACAAAAUCCAGAACCAGACGUGGACUGCGGAGCCACCAGCCAGUCAG